AUUGAACGCUGGCGGCAGGCCUAACACAUGCAAGUCGAACGAGUGGCGGACGGGUGAGUAAUGUCUGGGAAACUGCCCGAUGGAGGGGGAUAACUACUGGAAACGGUAGCUAAUACCGCAUACUAUCAGAUGAACCCAGAUGGGAUUGGCUAGUUGGUGGGGUAACGGCUCACCAAGGCGACGAUCCCUAGCUGGUCUGAGAGGAUGACCAGCAACAAUGGAACUGAGACACGGCCCAGACUCCUAGGGGAGGCAGCAGUGGGGAAUAUUGCACAAUGGGCGCAAGCCGGAGGCAGCCAUGCCGCGUGUAUGAAGAAGGCCUUCGGGUUGUAAAGUACUUUCAGCGGGGAGGCGUUACCCGCAGAAGAAGCACCGGCUAACUCCGUGCCAGCAGCCGCGGUAAUAC
rnacentral:rRNA from 1 species